UUUGAGUUCAUUCUCUCACAUAAUCCAUGUUGUUUUGCAAUGAGUUCUAUUGAAAGAUGCCACAGAAUUUCUCUUACAAUGGAAUGAGCAUAUGGCCAAGGAAGCGGGGGAACAAGGAGUGAAUCCUAUUAGCAUGGCUUGGUGGCUAGUGGAAAGGACAUGAGGAGCCAGAGGGAGAGCCUAUUGUUCAACUAGGGUCAAAAUGGAUCCAGGACAUAGUAUCUGGACUGUCAGGAAAUUCUUGAGAACUAUCCUACAGCUACUAAUGGAGAGUAUACCAUCUUUGCUGCUCCAACAAAGCCUGGAAAGAAGGUUUACUG